GUUGGAGAAGACUAAAAAUAGGUAUGGAACUUUUUACCUGUAGCGCUACCUAAAGACAAAUGAGUAUUGUAUUUUGGGUAACAAUUGUUGGAGAUAGUCUUAUUAAUUAACAUCCGUUCAGACAAAUAAAUACCAUGAGGGACUUGUUGUCUGGUUAUUAUAUUUUCAUGCUUAGGUCAGACUUGGGAGUGUUGGAGUUUCAUUUAUUAUUAGUGAGUUAUCAUAUAGUAAGCACUUUUGAUGAUGUGGCA
rnacentral:lncRNA from 1 species